rfam:HIV-1 isolate 02BJ302-1 from China gag protein (gag) gene, partial cds.
GGCCAGGGGGAAAGAAAAAAUAUAGAUUAAAACAUCUAGUAUGGGCAAGCAGGGAACUAGAGAGAUUUGCAGUCAACCCUGGCC